CACAACUUCAAGGACUUAAAAGAUCUGCUGCUGACGUCUCGGUGCCUCGAACUCGACGGAUCGGAGCUGAUUUGGUGACAUGAAGGAGAUCUACACAAUAUCAGGGUGGAUGGUGAUCAGAAGAAGCUGCAGACACAGAGAGCAGAAGAAUUAAAAUCAACGGGUAUCAAGUAAAUGCAAGAACAUGUGCUGAAGCUCUGAUGCCAGAGUGGGUGUCUGCAGAUCUCAGUCCAGUCAUGACUCAAAGCUGUGACUCACCGCUAAGAGGCCAGACAGCGCCAGACUCUCACAGCUAUUACCGCCGGCCAAUCAUUUCGCUCAAAUACAGUAAAAAAAAUUAUCUGAACACUUCCAACUUCAUGAUUGAUGAUAAUUUGCCGCAUUUGUUCAUCUGUAUUUGGUGACCCAGUUGCUG
ensembl:lncRNA